UCAGUAAAACAGAUUUGUGAUAAACAUGCAUUCAUCAUCAUUCAAUAAACACGAAAUGCUUCCUGCACUUUCAGGCAGUGCUAUAGAAUGGGGAACAAAUCAAGUUCCUGCUCGAAUGGCACGUAACUUAGUACCUAGUGGGAGAGGUAAACAAUGAGCACACCAAUACGACAUUAGAGAAGUAAGUGCUGAGAAGAAACAAAAAGAGGUGUAACAGAUUAGGAACUGGCAGUGAUGAUGGGACGCAUGGCUAUAUUAGGUUGGAUGCCCAGGGAAAACAAGCCUGAGGGUGUGAUUUUAAAUGAGUUCUGAAGAAGCGCCAUGGAGACAAUUCAAGUGGAGGGACCGGCCAGCUACAGAGCCCUUGAGAGUGCCACUUUUGCUGCUCCAGCUCGAUUCCCAGAAAGUCCCUGUGAUGCAGCUUUGGCGAAAUUUCCACCAGGGUCCCAACUAGAGACCAUGUGUGACAACCAGAGAAUGUGAGAAAAGUCGCCAUCUGGUGGUUGCAAUGGAGAACCACGUCACACGGAGGGCAGGAUGGGCAGGGGAAAGCCUGAACAUCAGAGACAAAUAGACCCUCUGGCCCGCAAUCUAGAACAAUUCUUUCUAGAGGACGUUUUAAAAUAUAUUCAAGGGCUGCGGUAUGGAG